UACGGGGGGUGCGAGCGUUGUCCGGAAUCAUUGGGCGUAAAGGGCGCGUAGGUGGUUUGAUAAGGGUGUGGUGAAAGUCCGGGGCUCAACCCCGGAUCUGCCGUGCCGACUGUCAAACUCGAGGACUGUAGAGGCAGACGGAAUUCCGGGUGUAGCGGUGGAAUGCGUAGAGAUCCGGAGGAAGACCGGUGGCGAAGGCGGUCUGCUGGGCAGUUUCUGACACUGAGGCGCGACAGCGUGGGGAGCAAACAGG
rnacentral:rRNA from 1 species